CCUUCCCUAAUUACAUGCUUCAACUCAUCUCCUAUUUACAUGGUUUUGUGGCCUUGCUUGGGAGAAAUAAUAGGUAACCAACCCAUCUUCCUUUUAUUGUUGUUGCCUUAAAUUGUGGAGUCAAGGAAAUAGAUAUUUAGUUCCUAAAAACAAGCACAUGAUAGCUACAUAUUAACUCACAGUCAGUUGGCUUCUGACUAAUCAAACCAGUCGAAUCAUUCUUCUCUAAUUCUCAGCAUCCAUUCUCUUUCAAUUACACAAUUAUCACCCUCUUCCCAUCUUACACAAUUAUUAGUUUAACCUUUCUUUCCAUACUGAGAUUUUUGGUAGCACGGCUCCAUUCCAGUCACUCGUUAAUCUCAAAUAAUUCUUAGGGUGCAUCAAGCAAUACCUAUAGCAUCUCUUUUAGUCACAUUUGCCUUUGACCUGGCCUCCCCUGUGAUUUUAAUUUUUGUGGCCUUAGAGUGUGCUAGGAAGGAAAGCUCUCGAGGUUGGACACCUACACCCUUGUGGUGUAGACUUGCAGGUUGAGAACAUAUAGUUACUGUGAGUUUUUCGAUGAUGGUUUUAGAGCCUACUCAUUGUUUACCGCUUUCUUUUGGAGUCUUGUCUAAUGGUACUCUGAUUAGGAUUGUUUGGAUUUUAUUUAUGUUAUCACAUUAUGUUUGAAGAACCUUGAGUUCUUUUGAGGAUAUAUUUAUUCACAGAUAUGAUGUAUGACAUUUAUGUUGAUGAGACUUAUUUUCUGUUGUGA